CCCAUCAAAAGAAGAAGAGUUCUUACAACCCCAAAUUCCAAUGGUCAGAGAACACAGAAGUACAGCCACCAACAACACAUUGCUGAUCCCAAAGGGCUUUUGUUCCUCCCAGAGAAGCCACUGUUGGGGACAGGGAACUGUAAUGUCACAGGACCCUCCCCAGAUUACCAAAGACUUCCCACUCCAAGGACCUCAACACAAGAAACAGGCAUCUCAGCACAGAGUGGACCACUGGCGACAAGAACACAGAGGGGCUCUUGGACCAAAAUCCAAACCAGACCACAGCCAGUCUCAAAUCCACUGGGCUGAGAGUCCUGACCUGCUCCUUAGUGAGGAGGACGCAGAGACCAACAUCAGGACAACCCCUAUUGUCUCCGCUUGUGGGGAUCACCGGUCAACUGUCAUAAGAGUGACCCCUUCCAAGAAGUACUGUGGACAGUGCCCAGAAGUCUCCAGUUAGCGAAGAGCUGUUGUUCCACGCACGUGCCUGGGCUAGCAGACCCUCCCUGACAAUUACAGUCAAGAUCCCAGUGCCAAGAAGGAGCAAAACCAGUAACCCCACAGGGAAGUUGAUAUAAGAUUACUCAAUGUGGGAGCCAGUAGUGCUGUUCACCAAACAUUUCCAGAUCUCCUCCUUUCUGGGCACGUGGUAAGACUGCACUUCCCUGAAUCCUUGGAGUUAGAUGCCGCCGUGGGACUUGCUCUGACCAAUGAAAUUCCCUAGGAUCUUGGCUUCUGGCAGAAAAGAACACACAAAACAGUCAGUUCAUGAGUAUCUUCACUGGGUUGAAGCUUCUAGGAGGCUCUGAACUUCACAUGUAGUCAAGCUGAUGCCAUCAGAUGAUGAGAGGAGACAAGUACAAGCACACCAGAAGAACCCAGUGAUGGCCUAAGCAGGGGAGGCCAAAAUCCUGCCCAGGAAGAAUCACAACCACCUUAGCCCCAGGCCAGACUACCAGGUAGCUCUGGAGAAGCCUAAGAGGUCUGGCAAGGUUGGGAAUAAUUAUCAACAGAGCUCAGUCAUCAGUGACAAGAAGUGGACUGGGGCCUUAGAGCAAUCUGAUUUGAUUUAACUCAGCGCAACAAAUAUUUCAUGAGUGCCUACUGUGUGCAGCAUGCUGGGGAUUUGGCUUAAAGGACAGAGGUUAAGAGUACAGGCUCUGGACUAGACCACCUGCAUCGGCCUCUGGAACUUACGGGACGUGCACUGUAUGCCAAGGACUCCCUAAGCAAAGCUUUGGACCUUCAUCUGACUGCCCGGUGCUCUCAGAAGUGAUGACUUGCAGAUGAGACAUCAUACCUCCACGCCUACCCUCAGGACUCAGCGACUUGGACUGUUCCACUCUCCUUGGCUGGAGAACCCAACCCUGUGGCCUGGCCCACCUGGACAUAUGUUCUUCUGCCACCCAAGGGCUCCCAACAUGGUCAGGCCGACUAUGACCAACUCAAAGCUAAGCACCUAAAACACCAACUUUCCCAAAAGGCCGUCAAGGCCAGGUUACUUCACCCUCCCCUUCCCAGCUGCCACCACCAUCUUUCCUCAACUGUUCACAGAUUUUCAGACCUGUAAAGUUGGAUCUGUCUCUGCAGCUCCAGGGAGAGUGACCAUUUCCCCUUUCUGUCCUCCUUGGGCUUUGCUCUUUUGUGGGGUCCUGGUGUUUGAGAGCAGAACCAUAUCUGGGGCCCCCCUUUUCCUGGAAGUAAAGUUCUAUUCUCC
ensembl:lncRNA